AUGAACGCUGGCGGCGUGCUUAACACAUGCAAGUCGAACGAAGCAUUUAGGACAGAUUACUUCGGUUUGAAGUUCUUUAUGACUGAGUGGCGGACGGGUGAGUAACGCGUGGGUAACCUGCCUUGUACUGGGGGAUAGCAGCUGGAAACGGCUGGUAAUACCGCAUAAGCGCACAAUGUUGCAUGACAUGGUGUGAAAAACUCCGGUGGUAUAAGAUGGACCCGCGUCUGAUUAGCUAGUUGGUGAGAUAACAGCCCACCAAGGCGACGAUCAGUAGCCGACCUGAGAGGGUGACCGGCCACAUUGGGACUGAGACACGGCCCAGACUCCUACGGGAGGCAGCAGUGGGGAAUAUUGCACAAUGGAGGAAACUCUGAUGCAGCGACGCCGCGUGAGUGAAGAAGUAAUUCGUUAUGUAAAGCUCUAUCAGCAGGGAAGAUAGUGACGGUACCUGACUAAGAAGCACCGGCUAAAUACGUG
rnacentral:rRNA from 1 species